rnacentral:rRNA from 1 species
AGUCUGCAACCCGACUCCACGAAGCUGGAUUCGCUAGUAAUCGCGCAUCAGCCACGGCGCGGUGAAUACGUUCCCGGGCCUUGUACACACCGCCCGUCAAGCCAUGGGAGCCGGGGGUACCUGAAGUGCGUAACCGCGAGGAGCGCCCUAGGGUAAAACUGGUGACUGGGGCUAAGUCGUAACAAGGUACC